ACAGCCCAGCGCAGAASCUCCCGGGCCACCCWGCCUGCGGCGGAAUGUUGCGUAAAGGGAAAGGUCGGUUCAAGGCCCUGCACAACGUAUACCAAAGUUUGGUUGGAAAAUCCACUGCAUCCCAACGGAUGCAUCGGCUCCACAGAGGGUGAUAGACCCGUGUGGCUACGUGGAUCUGUGCAUGGGUUCGGCUUUUUUCCCUGAGAGUCGCGUUGCUUGAAAUUGCAGCGCAAAGCAGGUCGUAAACUCGACCUAAGGCUAAAUAUUUCCACAGAACCGAUAGUAAACAAGUACCGUAAGGGAAAGUUGAAAAGUACCCUGACAAGGGAGUGAAAAGAUCGUGAAACCGCUMGGGAGUAUAAGCCCAUGGCAUCCUGGAAGGCUGGGUCCGCCUGUAUCUCUUUUGGAGGCAAGGUUUGUGUGUGCAAAAGGUCAAACAAGGCGUUGUUAGUGGCAUUGAGUUUGAUAUCACACCGAAGAUGAACUUGCGGGUCUCUGACAGUGAGUACAAGGGGUCGGAGAUUGAGGGCCGACCCCUGAGGCUGGGCUUAUGCAAGCGGGCGCUGAUGGGUACACACGAUUGGACUUAACACAGCCCACCACCUCUCUUUGUGAGGUCACGCACGGCGACGUGGCUGCGCGGUACCGGGCGAGCUCGUGGUCGAACCUUGCCCAUGAUGAUCACGGCCGGCCGGUGCCCUCACGUCUCAAAAUGCCGUGUCGUUUGAUCCUGUGCGAAGGAGGCUUUUCUGACCGUCCCAAAGCUGAGACGUGAAGACGAAUAUCUUCGAUGACUCCGUGAACGGGUACACGUAUCGAACCAGACGGGGCUUCGAUGGUGGCGGACGACUUGGUGACUUAUUCCGGGACCAUUGGUCACGUCUCGAAACACGGGCCAAGGAGCAUAGCAUGUGCGCAAGUCUAAGGGUCACAUAAAACCAGGAGGCGAAGUGAAAGCGAGUGGUGUGUCCGGUGUGUGCGUUCGGUGCACACGCUGGGCAGCCUAAGUAGCACUUGGCAUGAGAUUCUCACCUGAAGGGGCUCUUGUUCAAGUGGCUUAUACAACCGGGCCGAUCCCCAAGCUGCUAAGCCGGAUGGCGAUGCUGGGGCGCAGGCUCAGGGCUCCCCGCAGAGCGCGUCGCGUUCGUGGGAGCACCUCAUAGCGUGCAUGCUAUUACCCGAAAGAUAGUGAACUAUGCCUGGCGA
rnacentral:rRNA from 1 species